rnacentral:ncRNA from 2 species
CACAUCCGACAGGGGAGCGCACAGCGCUGAGAGUGCGGUUUGACACCCGCAGACCCUCGAACCUGAUCUGGGUAAUGCCAGCGCAGGGAGCUCGGUCUUCUCCAGCC